GGGCCCGUAGCUUAGCGGUAGAGCACUGCCCUUGUAAGGCAGGGGUCUCGGGUUCAAAGACAUCCUUUCUUAAGGUGCUUGGAAAUCCCGACGGGUCCA
rnacentral:tRNA from 1 species